rnacentral:rRNA from 1 species
CCUACGGGAGGCAGCAGUCGAGAAUCAUUCACAAUGGGGGAAACCCUGAUGGUGCGACGCCGCGUGGGGGAAUGAAGGUCUUCGGUUUGUAAACCCCUUUUAUGUGGGAGCAAAUUAAUAAGAUAGUACCACAAUAGGAAGAGACGGCUAACUCUGUGCCAGCAACCGCGGUAAUACAGAGGUCUCAAGCGUUGUUCGGAAUGACUGGGCGUAAAGCGUGCGUAGGCUGUUGCGUAAGUCGUGUGUGAAAGGCGCGGGCUCAACCCGAGGAAGGAAGAUGAUACUGUGAGACUAGAGUUAUGGAGGGGGAACCGGAAUUCUCGGUGUAGCAGUGAAAUGCGUAGAUAUCGAGAAGAACACUCGUGGCGAAGGCGGGUUCCUGGACAUUAACUGACGCUGAGGCACGAAGGCCAGGGGAGCGAAAGGGAUUAGAUACCCCAGUAGUC